rnacentral:rRNA from 1 species
AGUGAACGCUGGCGGCAGGCCUAACACAUGCAAGUCGGACGGCAGCACAAGAGAGCUUGCUCUCUGGGUGGCGAGUGGCGGACGGGUGAGGAAUGCAUCGGAAUCUGCCCAUUUGUGGGGGAUAACCUCGGGAAACCGGGACUAAUACCGCAUACGACCUACGGGUGAAAGCAGGGGAUCUUCGGACCUUGCGCAGAUGGAUGAGCCGAUGCCGGAUUAGCUAGUUGGAGGGGUAAAGGCCCACCAAGGCGACGAUCCGUAGCUGGUCUGAGAGGAUGAUCAGCCACACUGGGACUGAGACACGGCCCAGACUCCUAAGGGAGGCAGCAGUGGGGAAUAUUGGACAAUGGGCGCAAGCCUGAUCCAGCCAUGCCGCGUGUGUGAAGAAGGCCUUCGGGUUGUAAAGCACUUUUGUUGGGAAAGAAAAGCAGCCGGUUAAUACCCGGUUGUCAUGACGGUACCCAAAGAAUAAGCACCGGCUAACUUCGUG